rnacentral:rRNA from 1 species
GACGAACGCUGGCGGCGUGCUUAACACAUGCAAGUCGAACGGAAAGGCCCCUUUGGGGGUCCUCGAGUGGCGAACGGGUGAGUAACACGUGAGUAACCUGCCCUUGACUUCGGGAUAACUUCAGGAAACUGGGGCUAAUACCGGAUAGGAAUCCUUGCUGCAUGGUGGGGGUUGGAAAGCUUCGGCGGUUUUGGAUGGACUCGCGGCGUAUCAGCUUGUUGGUGGGGUAGUGGCUUACCAAGGCUUUGACGGGUAGCCGGCCUGAGAGGGCGACCGGCCACAUUGGGACUGAGAUACGGCCCAGACUCCGACGGGAGGCAGCAGUGGGGAAUAUUGCACAAUGGGCGGAAGCCUGAGGCAGCAACGCCGCGUGCGGGAAGACGGCCUUCGGGUUGUAAACCGCUUUCAGCAGGGGCGAAGCUUGUGGUGACGGUACCUGCAGAAGAAGCACCGGCUAACUACGUG